UCGGUUUAAUUAGGAAACCAAAUAUCCCCAACCUUUUCCUCCUCCUGUCUCGUCAUUUCCACGAAGACAAAAAAAAAAAAAAAAAAAAAAAACCAAACCCAAAAUCUCUCUCCCGUGAAAACCCCAAAACCCAAAUACCCCUACCCUGUUUCUCUCACCUGCGUCGACUCUCUUGCCGACAUUCCUGAAGCUCGUCGGAGCUUCCUUUCUUUCUCCCUCGUGCGGUGUUGUUGCUGUGUUUCAAUCCCCUGCUCGCGUCUUCUCACUCCUCUUCGUGGCGAUUGUGUUGUGUGCGCUGCUGCUCGCUGCUCUGUUCACGGUUGUGUUGCCGCUCUCGACGCUGUUGUUGGGUGGUGCUCCGUCACCACCGCACGUUGCCGUCGCCACUUCUAGCCUUCCUUCUCUGUUCUCGCGUUGUUGUGUUUUUGCGCUGCCGCCAUCGUGGCGUUGGUCCUGUAGCACGAGAUGGUCGAGUUUCCCCCUUGUCGGUACUAACCCCGUUUGACCUCUCUUUUGAAUUGGGUUUUGUUCUAAUUGAAGUUUAUAAUAUCAAUAGUUUGUUGAUUAUGAAAUUAUGACAUUAGUUAAAUGAAGCUUUGUAGAUUAAUUGAUUGAUUAAUUGUGUGGUUGUUCUGACAAAGAAUAAAAUGUACUUUAUCUCUGGUAUUGUUAUUAUUGUGGUUAGUAUUGUUGUUGUGGUGUUUAUUGUGGAUAUUAUAUGCUAGUGGUUUUGAUAUGGUGGUGGUUUAUGAUUAUGAAGACAUGGUUGAGUUCAAAUCAAUUUUGGGAUCAUGGUUCAAUAAUUCAAUUAGCUUUGUUUUGAAAGUUUAUUUUGUUAGAUUGAUAAUUUCACUAAGGGAGUUUCCAUUAUAUGAUAGUAAUUAGUUCACCAAAUAAAUUGUAGUAAUGUUAUCCUAUGUGAUAGUGUUUAUAUGAGUUAUGACUUCAACUAGUUGGUGGUUUAAUUCGUUUAGUGAAUGAGAGUAAUCAAGGAAUUAUAAGUAACAAAUUAAAUUUACAUUGGUCUCCUUGUUUUAAAAGUUAGAUAUCUAGAUCAUUGGAGAAGUCGUUAUGGAGUUCAAGUUCAAGUUGAGAAAGUUUUAUUUAUCUUGGAGAUUGAUGAUCAACUAUGUAUGAAAUAACUCGGAGGUGGUAUUAAUAUUCAUAAAUUAGAGUAACAUUAUCUUAGAAAAUUGAUUUUGGAUAUUGUGACAACAAAUGGUUCCUAAGUAGAUUAAUAUAAUUAAGUUAGAUUAGUGGUUAAUAAUCACCAUAAUAGUUUAAUAUGUGGGUUUGAAUCACUAGGUUGGAUAUAAGUUGUUAAUUACGUAAAUGAAAUCUUAGAUAUAUGGUUUAAGUAAUCUUAUUAGUGUUAAGAGGUGUGUUGAAUAUCAAAUACAUUAUUGUAGAGAUGAAAUCAUGUUCUUGGUUUUGUUUAUGCGAUAUAUGACAGUUGUUUCUAUGUUGUUGUUGAUGGAAGCUUACUAAAUUCUGGAAAGGUGGCAUACCUAAUAUAUAAUAAGAAGAGUAUGUGUAAUUCACCGUAAUUUUAUGGAUUUUAAAAAUAUAUUUUAGUAUUUAUAUAUUUAUAUUUAAACAUAAUUUAGUUGAAAUGAUUUAUUUAUUUAAAGAAGGUUGACCAUUUUGAAAGUCAUGCUUUGAAAAUAUUUUUGUUUACGCAUGCUUUGAAAAAUGUUUGAAAUAUUAAUUGGAUUUGAAAAAUAAAAUUUAAAUGGGCUUGAGGAACCCAAAUUCUAGGUGGAUUAGGAAAAUGAUUUCUAUUGAUGUUAGGUUUUCUAAAUCAUUAAUCCUAUUCAUCAUAAAGCUCAAAAAGAAAAACCUACAUAUAAAUAUCUUAAACACAAUUAUUUUACCACACAAAUUUUCUCUCUCCUCCUCACACUUCCCAAGGGUCGGUUCUUUCUUUCUCUCUCUCUCUUCCCUUCUUCACGUUUUCUAUGUGUCUUCUUCCAAUUCUUUGUGUCUUAUUCAAGAAAUAUUUUCUUCUUCACCAAGAAACGUCACAAUAACACCACAAUUUCCACCACCACCACCAUGUUGUUGCUGCUGCCGCCACUGCUAAGGGUUGUCGGCGCCCCUUGUCUCCUUUGUUCCUUUGAUUUAUUGGUUUAAUUCUUUUCUUCCUCAAGUUUUGAUUAAAGAUUAUGUUUUUAUAUUUUAUUUUAGUACUAAUUAUGAUUAAUAACUUUAAUUUACCAUUUUAAUGAUGAAUCUGAGAUUAUAUAAAAUAUGUAUUGAAAGAAUAAAAUUUUAGAUUUGAUUAUUAUCUUUAGAUUGAGUUUCUAAUUAUCAAAGCAUGAAUUUUUAGGGUGUUAAAGAUUGGAAAAUCAUAGUAGCAUUUAUAAACUAUGAAAUUGAUUUAAACUAUGAAUUUAAGCAUGUUUGAAGAGAGAUUUAAAAUUUUAUAAGUUGUUGGAAUUUUAGAAAGGGCAUUAUUAAUGGAGUUUUAUGGAUUUAAUGACUAGUAUAGUAGUACUAUGCUAGGUAAAAUAAGUAAUUGAAGUUUUAAUGGUAACAACAUGGGGACAUAAAAAAAGAGAGAGAUGGAUGGGGUUUCCUUCGCUUUUGGCAUAGUGGGCCUAUAUUUUUAAAGAGGAUUUAAAGUAUUGUUUUUGAAUUAUAUUGGUUGUUUUAGGCGGAGAUUAUUCAGUAGAUGAUUUUUAAGGUGAUUAAAGGUGAUUUACCAAUUUGCUCACAAAAGGUACUUACAUAUCUAUGUGUUAUGUGAUGUAGUAUCAUGAUUUUUAGGAAGAAAAGUUGUAUUAUGUAUAGGAACUUUGUAAGUUCAUAUGUGAUUUCUAUUAUGGUUAAAUUUUACAUGUUCUAUGCCUGUGUGCAAAUAUGUUGAUGACGAGAUUUAAUUAUGAGUUGAUUAUCAUGUUUGUAUGGAAUAUUGAUGCAAGCAUGUUGGUUGGGAACUUAAUUUAAUUUAUUAAUUCACAUGGGGGAAUUAAUAUAUUUAUCAUGUUGGAUCAUGUUGAAUCAUGUGUUCUCUCGUAUUAUUAUUUUCACUAUUUUAUGAGGACUAUGGGCCUUAUUUGGUAACUUGAUAAAUUAUGCCUUUGAAAGGUAAGUUGGUUGUUUGCUAGGUUCAACAAAUAAGAAAGAUUGGAAUAAAAGGAAUUAAUCUUGGAUUGUAAGUUGUGUGAUCACUUAUUUAAUCCGAAGAUAAAAAUGACGGUCAGUUGUGAAUGUUUGAUCAUAUAUGUAUGUGUUACUUGUGUGUCAUAACAAGUAAUAAAUUGUAAAUCACGUAAAGUGUAACUUGGGUAGUAAUAAACUUUAGACUGAUGUACGUCUGAAGUUGGACAAUUAGGAGUUGGAGUACAUGGUGGUAGCCCGUGGCUUUAAUCUGGGAAACAGAUUGAUCACUAUUCCUAUUUUUCAAAGGUUCAUCGAUAUCGCAGGUCAUUAUGGAGUACGAAGUCAUGCCCGUAUUUCGUCUUCCGAGGUGAAGGCAUGUUUUGGUAGGACAACUCGGUCCAAUAACUAUUCUAUUAAAGUAAUAAAAAGAUGGUUAAAGUUAAGUUCAGUAAAAGUUAUCUGCAAAAGAAUCUUUAGAGCAUUCACAUCUACAGGUUUGGAGAUGUUGCAUCAUGGGAAUCUAGGAAUGGAAAGUUUGUGUAACAGAUUGUUUUAUCUAUUGUUUUAGUAGGAACAUAUUAUAUUAAAUUUGGUUUUGAAGUUAACAUAUAUAGUGUGUUGGUUUGCAUACUUUGUUUAUUAACUAUAUUAAAGUAUGAAGUUUAGUUAUAUAUGUUUUCCGCUGCAAAAUUCUGAAUAAGUCGAUACAUUAUCACACGGAUAAUAAUCCUUUGGUAAUUCUCUAUGUUUUUAUGUUGAAAAAGUAUUUUUGAAAAAGGAGAUUUAUCGGGGUGUUACAAUAUGGGAGUUAUUUUACCUAACUAUGGAUUAAAUUAGAUAAGAUGUGGUUAGUAAAGUAUUUUAGUUCGAUAACUAUAAAUGGAAUAAUAUAAUAAAGUCGGCUUAUUUAACUAGUGAAUCACUAAAGUAAAUUAGUGCGUGUGUUUUACUACGUAAAUUAAUAUAAGUUGUGACUUACUUUAGAGAAGUUUCACUUAGAUAAGGAAUGGUUUUCUAAUUAGUAAUGAGAUAAACUUGUUCUCUAUGAUUAUAGACAUGGGCCGUAGUUGAAUUUGUUGUUAAAUCUGUUACUUGGAAUUCCACUAAUAGUAUAAUAUGAAUCAAAAUUGAUUGUUUUCAUUAACCAACCUUUGAUUAAUGACCUGGAGCGUGAUGUGUAAGUUAACUCUCCUUAGUUAAUUUUAAGUGAGAGACCUAUUGCGGAUAUUGUUGAUGUUUGAUAAUCUUUAUUAUCAUUAUGGAGAUGAGUGUACAUAGAUAUUUGUCAAGUGGAAAGGAAUAUGAACUAUCUAUAUGUAAAAAAGUAUGUGAUGUGUGGAAUUGAUUUAAUAACUCUCAUUAGUUAAUUCUAGCUGAGAGACCAUUUGUCAUUAUUGUUGAUAGUUAUCGAGCAUGAUUAUUUGUUAAUCUUUGAGUUCAAAGUCCUAUGAAUGAAAUUGGAUUGCAUAUAAAAGUAUAUAUGUGUUAGUUUGAAAUGCUUACUUGUAAAGAUCUUAUGUGAGACAAUUAUAGUUCUCUAAGGAGAAGUUAUCUUGUUUAGUUUGUCGUUCAAAGAUUGUUAGGAAUUAUUGUUAGGAAUUAUUAUAAGUAUGGAUGAGUUGCAAGAAUUAGCAGAUUGAAAUAUUAAUGAUAAUGAGAAGUGAUCCAUAGGGGAAAGUAGCCUCGUCUGAAUCACCAUGGAUUGUUCACCAUGGAUUGUGAACCUUGGGGGAGCCCAAACAGGGAAACCUGUCCAUUGCUCUGUGGGGCGAUAACUAGGCGAUAUAUCAGGUAACGUGAAACCUAUGGAUGACUGAUUGAAUCAGCGGAAAUAGGUAAUUCGGACUAGUCGCGGUUAUUGGCCAAAAGUAAAGCGAAUGGUUGGGUGACGACCCCCACUGUCGGAGUGUAAGCUUCGUCUCCUCCGCCGCGUUCUCUUUCCCCUUGAUUAAAAAGAAAGUUAUCUCAAAUUAUGAAAGAUAUAUCGAUAUUGGAUUCUCGAUAAGGAAUCGUAUCGUGGUUGGAGCCCAGAGUUGUUUUUUCAAGAGUUAAAGGUAUUAUCCAUUAGGAAGAUUACUUGUGGUAUUGUAUUUGUUUUCGAGGCGAGGACACUUGGCUUUGUAACAGUUAGUUGUUAAUUAUGUAUUUUCGAUUUGAUGAUUUUAAGAGUCGUUAGUGCUCCUGAUUUUCUAUUGUGUUGCUCCGCGAGAGCGUUGAGGUGGUUGACUUAUCGGAUUUGGAAAUAUUUUAUUUAAUGAAAUUGUAACAGGUGCAUAUUAUUUCUCGCUUUAGAGUUAUCCUAUUUUCAAAGGAAACUUUGUCGGAUUUUUUAUAAAAAUUUAUUAGAAUAAAGUCUGAGAAUUA